rnacentral:lncRNA from 1 species
AUGGUCUGUCUUAUGACGGGGGAGACUGGGAGGCGGGGGAGGGUUGAGGGACUGGCUAAAGCAUCUUGGGGGUCGAGGAAGACUUUUCGGCCCAGGAGAGGGGUGGAGGGCAGUUUACCCUGCUCCGCCUUUAGCUUCUCCACCUGCAAACAAGGCUUCCUUCAAAACCCGUUCUGUCAGCGCAGCGUGUUGGGGGCGGUGGGUGGCGUUACCGUGGUGAGGCGCCGCAGUGAGCUGAAUCGCUCCUCCCAGGUGGCGGCAGCUUUGCGAAAGGCCUCGUGGCGCCGGAUGAGCUGCUCCUGCUCGCUCAGCCAGGCCUCCACCUCCGCCGUGUCCAGGUAAUACUGCUGCACUUGGUACAUGGUGUCCAGGAGCAGCUGCCUCCUCUCCGUCUCGGUCCAGAGCAGCGCCCACAGCUGGGCCAGCUGAUCCUGGCCGGCCCGGAUGCAGUCUGCCUCGGGGCUUCGGAUGGAGGCGAUGAUCCCCGCCUGCUCCAGGACCUCCUCCAUCCUGCAACGGUGGCUCUGCAGCUCCCUCUGGAGGGACUGCGGGGAAGGAGGAGAUUCCCAGUCAUUCAGAGGAGGUGAAUGAGACACAGGUUCAGCUCCACACUACUAUCCCCGCCUUUUAAGGGGUUCAAAAGUUUUUUUUUCUGAGAGUAAAAAUCCAAGAAGAGCUUUAAUUUGCUGCAUAGAAGAUUACACCUUAUUUCAGCAGGUUUCCACUCAGACCCCCUCACUGCAGCACCUGUUGUUUCUCACCUGGUUCUUCUUCAUGAGCUGCUGGACGGCCUGCAGAGUGGACCCGUGCUCCUGAGACGUGGCCAGCGGGAGGCGCUCCUGCACCCACAGCUGCAUAGAUCGGACGAGGACACACACAAUCGUGGCUUUAUUCAUCUUAAAUGUUCUUAAGAGGAACAUAUUUGUUAGUGAUGGGCAGAUGAGGCUUCGUGAAGCCUUUCAUCCAACUGUUCCCUCAAGUGCAAUGCUUACUGAAGCUUCAUUUGCUCUUGUAAGACAUCUAGUAGACGGAAAGAAAUAUCAGUUGACUCAAAAGUGCGGCAUUUUGAUUAAA